AUAUAUAUGUGUGUGUGUGUGUGUGUGUGUGUGUAUGGUGAUGAUUUUAGGGGAUCAAGUCUGAUUUCAGGAUUUUGGGUUGCUUCUGUUCCUCUGGGUGUUUUCUUGGACCCAGAGUCAACAUUUAAAACAAAACAAAACAAAAACACCUACUGGUUCUCAAGUUUUGACCCUUGUGUCAUUUAUCAUCAGAAGUCAUGGGAUCCACAAUUAUAGGACCCAGGACUGAGUUAAUCUUUGAGGGAUAAAUUGUGGCACAUUCUGUUUUUGGGGGCUGUUCCAAAUCUAAAUAUCUUUGUCAGUGAUUUAUGAUCUUCUGUGAUUGUUUAUUUAGUUCCCUCGGUCUAAAAAAAAAGAAAAGAAAAGAAAAGAAAAAAAGUCAGCCUUUAGGGUCAGCCUUCAGUGAACAGCGGCUGGACAUCUCAACAGCCUCAGCCCAGCCUUGGGCUUCUGCUGAGAUGCAAGCAUAAUGACCAGGAAUGUGAUCUGUCCUCAGCCAGAUGGUCAAUAGCUGGAAAUACUACUCCCUCCACGGUAACUACAAUCUAGGGGAGGUUGAGAGGGAGGAUCAGCAAACCUGGUUGAUCUAAAUGGAUUUCUACUCCAUGUUCAAGCAUUUUGGGUUUGAGAAAACCCCCAAUACUUUGAGCCCCAGGCAUUUUUUCCAUUAAUAUUUUAAACUGAUGUUCAUGUCAAGGGAAAUUUAAUACGUAGGUUUCUGAUUCAUUUACACUUAACUCAUCAAAAUAUUGUUCUGUAAGAGAUGAUUGGUGUCCAAGAAAUCUUAAGAGCCUUUUUAUAAGCUUUUAAACUUCUUUUAAACAUUAAGAAACAGAAGUUGCAGUCUCCCCAAUGUAAACAGGAGUGAAUCCCUGGUGGGGGGGAAGGAAGGUGGGAGGGUGGAGAGGGUGGAUAUAAGGCGCCAAGACACACUGACCUCAGUCCUUGAGGGACAAGAAAGUGAAGCCCAGGACUUUCCAGUCCCCACCUAGCGAUCAACGUCUCACCCACAGUCAGGGGAGCAAACUACUUUUUUGAAUUCUGAAGGCAAAGGCAAGCUUUUUUUAGGGGUCCUGCUGUUGGCAGAGAAAGCUCCCAAGAGUUCUGCUGCAGAGAAGAAGGAUAUAGACUCCAAAAUUUUACUUCCAGGCAAGGCCUCCCCCCACCCUCUUUUUCCCCUUCAAAGAAAGUGCUCAUAAUGUAUCCUUUCAUUUAUAAUUUUAUGAAGGUCUCAAUUGAACAUGUAAAGAAAGUGGAAAAAUUCUAAGUUGCCAUGGAUGUUUGGCAUUUUUCCUACUAUACUAAAAUCUACUUUCUGCCCCAAGCAAAAUGGUUUCAGAGAUUCCAAUAAAAGGGGGUGGAAGACAGUGAGGGUGGAGGUCUGGAAUCAGAGUCUUCAUGAAAUAUAUUUGUAUUUUAAUUAUUUGAAUAUGAUCGACUUCUGUUUCACGCUAUUUCACUUGGCUUCCUAUGGUAAAAUACAGCUCCUUUGCAUUUCAUAAAGCUUGUAACCUGUGUAAAUGAACACUCACGUGUUUUAUCUUGUUUUACUCAUGCUUCUACAAAAUGAUAAAUGUAGCAGAAUUCAGCAUCUCUUGUUUAGGUUUGUUUAUUUGUUAUAUUGUUUUUAUUUUUCCUCUUGUGUUUUCUUAAAAGAGGGAAAGCUUGAGAAUAAAUCAGCAAUGAUAAAAAUUUUGUUCUGUUUUCGGAGUUUUAAAACAUUCUCAUAAUUUCAAGUAAAUGCAGAAAGCAUUCAUAUUCAGAAAAGAAGCCAAGGAAAAAUGUUAGACACCACUUUAGAUUUGACCAAGAUAACAUUUACAAAGUGGUGGCUUUUUUCUUGGUCUAAGUUUUAAUCUAUUGGUAUUAGCAAUAUCUGCUUUUCUCCUGCCUUGCUUUACACAGAUUCAUGAUUUUCUAAAAAUGGAUGUUUUUCUCAAAUCGAGGUAGGUUCUGUUCUACUGUCUUACAUGACUUUGGGUGCAUAGACCCAGAUUAUUUAUACGCUGUAGAAGUCGAUGGUAUUAAAUCCGCUCGAGAAGUAAGAAAAGUCAGAGGCUGAGUUAUGAAAAACCUUUGUCAAAGACUGUAGGGUGAAUGUGGUUUUUGCAUCCAGCGCUUUACCUGUGGUUCUAAUAUAGGUUUUGUGUAUUCGUCUUCUGCAGGGACCUUUUCAGUAGAGCCUCUUAAGAUACAUGUUUCGGAAUGCAGUCAAAUGCGUGCUGCUGUAUGGCCAGCCUAUUCGAUUAUGCCUCCAAAUCCUAUGGAAGUGUAAGAACCAUAGAGCAGACAAACACCAACAGCAUCAACAACAGAGAAACUCAGUCCAGGAGGAUAUGAAACCCUUUGUAAUAAAGAAAGCAACAGCCAUGAACAUUUGUGUA